CUUUCGGGCGGGGAUUAGUGGCGAACGGGUGAGUAACACGUGGGCAAUCUGCCCUGCACUCUGGGACAAGCCCUGGAAACGGGGUCUAAUACCGGAUAUGACUGUCCAUCGCAUGGUGGAUGGUGUAAAGCUCCGGCGGUGCAGGAUGAGCCCGCGGCCUAUCAGCUUGUUGGUGAGGUAGUGGCUCACCAAGGCGACGACGGGUAGCCGGCCUGAGAGGGCGACCGGCCACACUGGGACUGAGACACGGCCCAGACUCCUACGGGAGGCAGCAGUGGGGAAUAUUGCACAAUGGGCGAAAGCCUGAUGCAGCGACGCCGCGUGAGGGAUGACGGCCUUCGGGUUGUAAACCUCUUUCAGCAGGGAAGAAGCGAAAGUGACGGUACCUGCAGAAGAAGCGCCGGCUAACUACGUGCCAGCAGCCGCGGUAAUACGUAGGGCGCAAGCGUUGUCCGGAAUUAUUGGGCGUAAAGAGCUCGUAGGCGGCUUGUCACGUCGGUUGUGAAAGCCCGGGGCUUAACCCCGGGUCUGCAGUCGAUACGGGCAGGCUAGAGUUCGGUAGGGGAGAUCGGAAUUCCUGGUGUAGCGGUGAAAUGCGCAGAUAUCAGGAGGAACACCGGUGGCGAAGGCGGAUCUCUGGGCCGAUACUGACGCUGAGGAGCGAAAGCGUGGGGAGCGAACAGGAUU
rnacentral:rRNA from 1 species